rnacentral:rRNA from 1 species
UACGGAGGGUGAAAACGUUGCUCGGAAUCAUUGGGCGUAAAGAGCACGUAGGCGGCGAAGCAAGUCGGGUGUGAAAGCCCUGGGCUCAACCCAGGAAGUGCAUUCGAAACUAUUUCGCUUGAAUCUCGGAGGGGGUCAGAGAAUUCCCGGUGUAGAGGUGAAAUUCGUAGAUAUCGGGAGGAAUACCAGUGGCGAAGGCGCUGACCUGGACGAAGAUUGACGCUGAGGUGCGAAAGCGCGGGGAGCAAACAGG